UGGGGAAUUUUGGACAAUGGGCGAAAGCCUGAUCCAGCAAUGCCGCGUGUGUGAAGAAGGCCUUCGGGUUGUAAAGCACUUUUGUCCGGAAAGAAAUGGCUCUGGUUAAUACCUGGGGUCGAUGACGGUACCGGAAGAAUAAGGACCGGCUAACUACGUGCCAGCAGCCGCGGUAAUACGUAGGGUCCAAGCGUUAAUCGGAAUUACUGGGCGUAAAGCGUGCGCAGGCGGUUGUGCAAGACCGAUGUGAAAUCCCCGAGCUUAACUUGGGAAUUGGCAUUGGUGACUGCACGGCUAGAGUGUGUCAGAGGGGGGUGAGAAUUCCACGUGUAGCAGUGAAAUGCGUAGAGAUGUGGAGGAAUACCGAUGGCGAAGGCAGCCCCCUC
rnacentral:rRNA from 1 species